rnacentral:rRNA from 1 species
GACGAACGCUGGCGGCGUGCUUAACACAUGCAAGUCGAACGGAAAGGCCCUGCUUUUGUGGGUUUCUCGAUUGGCGAACGGGUGAGUAACACGUGAGUAACCUGCCCUUGACUUUGGGAUAACUUCAGGAAACUGGGGCUAAUACCGGAUAUGAGCUCCUGCUGCAUGGUGGUGGUUGGAAAGUUUCGGCGGUUGGGGAUGGACUCGCGGCUUAUCAGCUUGUUGGUGGGGUAGUGGCUUACCAAGGCUUUGACGGGUAGCCGGCAUGAGAGGGUGACCGGCCACAUGGGGCCUGAGAUACGGCGCAGACUCCUACGGGAGGCAACAGUGGGGAAUAUUGCACAAUGGGCGGAAGCCUGAUGCAACAACGCCGCGUGCGGAAUGACGGCCUUCGGGUUGUAAACCGCUUUCGCCUGUGACGAAGCGUGAGUGACGGUAAUGGGUAAAGAAGCACCGGCUAACUACGUG